rnacentral:rRNA from 1 species
AGUGAACGCUGGCGGUAGGCCUAACACAUGCAAGUCGAACGGCAGCACAGGAGAGCUUGCUCUCUGGGUGGCGAGUGGCGGACGGGUGAGGAAUACAUCGGAAUCUACUCUGUCGUGGGGGAUAACGUAGGGAAACUUACGCUAAUACCGCAUACGAACUACGGGUGAAAGCAGGGGAUCUUCGGACCUUGCGCGAUUGAAUGAGCCUAUGUCGGAUUAGCUAGUUGGCGGGGUAAAGGCCCACCAAGGCGACGAUCCGUAGCUGGUCUGAGAGGAUGAUCAGCCACACUGGAACUGAGACACGGUCCAGACUCCUACGGGAGGCAGCAGUGGGGAAUAUUGGACAAUGGGCGCAAGCCUGAUCCAGCCAUACCGCGUGGGUGAAGAAGGCCUUCGGGUUGUAAAGCCCCUUUGUAGGGAAAGAAAUCCAGCUGGCUAAUACCCGGUUGGGAUGACGGUACCCAAAGAAUAAGCACCGGCUAACUUCGUGCCAGCCGCCGCUGUAA